rnacentral:rRNA from 1 species
UACGUAGGUGGCAAGCGUUUGUCCGGAAUUAUUGGGCGUAAAGCGCGCGCAGGUGGUUCCUUAAGUCUGAUGUGAAAGCCCACGGCUCAACCGUGGAGGGUCAUUGGAAACUGGGGAACUUGAGUGCAGAAGAGGAAAGUGGAAUUCCACGUGUAGCGGUGAAAUGCGUAGAGAUGUGGAGGAACACCAGUGGCGAAGGCGACUUUCUGGUCUGCAACUGACACUGAGGCGCGAAAGCGUGGGGAGCGAACAGG